rnacentral:ncRNA from 1 species
GAUUAUCGAAGGAUUAUAUUUUCAAAGACCUUAAUUCAUAAUC